UACGGAGGGUGCAAGCGUUAUCCGGAAUCACUGGGCGUAAAGCGUGCGUAGGCGGAUGUUUAAGUGCAAUGCGAAAUCCUGUGGCUCAACCAUAUGGACUGUAUUGCAUACUGGAUAUCUGGAGGAAUGCAGAGGCAAGUGGAAUUACCGGUGUAGCAGUGAAAUGCGUAGAGAUCGGUAGGAACACCAAUGGCGAAGGCAGCUUGCUGGGCAUUUUCUGACGCUAAGGCACGAAAGCGUGGGGAGCGAACAGG
rnacentral:rRNA from 1 species